UUGGUCUCAGCCCUGCUUCUGAUUUUGUUUUCAGGGUGGACUUGGUUGUAUCUUGUCAAUGACUUCUUUCCAGCCCAGUCUCACGGAUGUACCUUAGAUUCCUGCUUUUGCUAUGCCUCUGGUAUUGCUUGUGCAAAAAUGCUCCUAUGUGUGUUCUUUAGAUGGCUCAUGGUCUCCAUUUGUCACCUUGUGUUACCUGGAGCUGUGGAGUUUCUUAGCACCCAGCUUGCUUUCUCUUAUGGAAAGCCUGACUCUUAUUGAUCUUUUGACAAGCUCCAUCAAAGAGGGAGCAAGGGAUAAAGACCAUCCUUCCUGUCUGCAGUGAGGAAGAGAUGUAUUCAGCAGUAUUCAUCACAGAAGACGAACAGAAGCACAUCAUGGAACUACCUGUGGCUUUCUCAUCUCUCAGGAGACUCCAGCAGGGAAUGAUCUGUCUCACAGACUUGAACCCUCACAGUUUUCCCUGGUUUCCUGAAGAAGCAGUAUUUGCAGCAGUAAAUAUGAAAAGAUCAGAGAGGCACUCCUAGUAAUUUACCCAGAUUAAAGAGUGGAGCAAGAACUGACCCUUCAUUAGGUAUCAAAGCAUGCUCUUGGGAGGGCAGCUGGAAGACACAAGUCUGCAGAAUUACCAUCUUCUUUUGAUCUGCUGCUCAUAAGAUGACACGUUAUUCUUCCCUGUGCACACAAAGACAAAGGUGGAAAUCACAGAAAGCAAAUUGCCGGUUUUGAAGCCGAAUUCCUCAUCCCAGGCCUGGAAUAUGUAUGGAAAAAUAUUUCCAGAGAUUCUCCUGUUAUAAAUAACCUGGAGGAGGUGAAGGACUCUGCAAAGCAUGCUGCAAAAAGGAUGGAGAAAGAGUUCAUCUCUUGGAGAGAAAAAAAGAAUCUUCAUCUUAAAGCUGAUGUUUGUAGUGUGUGCUCAGGGUGAGUCACAUGAGAGGCAAAUUGAGAUAAGAGCAGAGUCCUGAAAGAAAAUGACUGAUUUUAAUCUCUGUUUCCCUGCUUACAGGGUCUUGGCUGCAGAAAUUAAAAAGCUGUGCUUCCCUGUAAUAUCACCCUGUUAAAUGGUGUAUCAUCAUCAGCUCCCAAUAUUUUUUUGCCUAUGCUCUCCAUGUAUGUUGUGCAUAUAUUUAUACACAUAUGUACAUAUAUAAAGCUUCUCUGUGGCUUUUUCUUAAUGGGUUGCUUAUAGUGUGUGCUGUACAGUCAGCUUCUCACAGCCCUCCUGCAGCUGUCAGAGCCACACCAAAUCUCAUCUUUAGCCAUAGCAUCUUCUGAACAGUCACACACGAACUUUUACUGGGUUUAUGUAGUUACAUCUGAAUAUCACUAGAUGUCCUCUACUGCUAAGUAGCUUUACCUCAGUCCAUGCCAAGCACCACACAGAAAUUCAGUGAAAUGAACCUCAGCUGUUGAAGCUGUGUAUUUAUAGUUCAAUAGUUCCCAGUCCAUAGAUGCACAAUGAUGUUCCUCAUCCAUAGCCUGAAGGAGUGCUCUAAUACCUCUUACCAACUGGAGUUGCAGUGUGAUUUAGAAAGGUGUUGGUUUCACACAGACUUGAAGCCAUCUGACACGUCGUAGGUACACUUCAACUAUCUCCUUUGCUGCUCAUCUGAGACAACCAUCAGGUAGGGCUCUGCCUUUGGUCUCCUUGGGCCCAUCUCCACAUUUAACACCCAAGGUCCACUCUCCGCCUUCUCUGCUGCAACCACUUACACCUUUAACAAUGAACAAUAAACAGUCACGCUGUUUAUUUAGCCCUAGUAGUGAAAUGUUACACUACCUAGACAAUACAUUCCCUUAGAGACAGUAGGUCUGAGGUACAGCCUGACCUGAACAGUUCAGAGACUGUAUGUCACUUUAAUGCUAUUGAGUGAUGUUGAACCAGGCUGGAAAUCUUGCCUGAAGUUGUAUGGGGAAAAUGUGGGCUCAUAUUUUAAGGUGCUUUUUUUUUUCUUUGAGUUUUCUAUAAAGUUUGAAGUUUUGCCCAAUCUGCACUUGCAUCCUCCCAGGGUGGGCUCUUCCUGACAGUGUGUCUGCUGUCAAACCAA